AUGUAAUGUAAUGCCUACAAUGUUAAUGCACCAUAUUGCAUUAGAAAUCUGCAGUUAAGCACGCUUGGGAUAGAGUAGUACUGGGAUGGGUGACGUCCCUGUACGUCCUAGUGUUUUACAUG
rnacentral:rRNA from 1 species